UUCGCAAUGCCCGAAAGGGUGACGAAGCGACGCCGCGUGGGUGAGGAAGGCCUUCGGGUUGUAAAGCCCUGUCAGGAGUUAAGAAAUGUAAGUGCGCUAAUAUCGCAUUUAUUUGACGAAGGCUCCAAAGGAAGUCACGGCUAACUCUGUGCCAGCAGCCGCGGUAAUACAGAGGUGGCAAGCGUUGUUCGGAAUUAUUGGGCGUAAAGAGCACGUAGGUGGGUUUGUAAGUCAGAUGUGAAAGCCUCCUGUUCAACGGGAGAAUUGCAUCUGAAACUACUGAUCUUGAGUAUAGGAGGGGAGAAUGGAACUUCUGGUGGAGCGGUGAAAUGCGUAGAUAUCAGAAGGAACGCCGGCGGCGAAAGCGAUUCUCUGGCCUAUUACUGACACUCAGUGUGCGAAAGCUAGGGGAGCAAACGGGAUUAGAUACCCCGGUAGUCCUAGCCGUAAACGAUGGGCACUAAGUAGAGGGGUUUU
rnacentral:rRNA from 1 species